rnacentral:lncRNA from 1 species
GCCUCGGUUGCUUCUCCGUCAAAUAGAGAGGGCGCCCCAUGGCCCUUGAGGGCCCUCCCCGUCUAUGGUUCUGGGACCGCACAUGCGAGCAUCCCUUGGGUGCUGAGGGGGCUGGAGGAAAGGGGGCGGGACUGCUGCCAAGCAGCCAAUCAGGGGAGUCCGUGAGAGCCGCGCUGCCUGCCCCUAGCGGUCAAGGCCAGGAGCAGACACGCGAGGCUCGGGAGGCGUGACCUUGGAGGAGGCGUGCUCAUUCUCCGGAAGACCCCGGGAGGGGCGGCAUGGAGGGGAGCAGCUCUCAGGGAGACCUAAAGCCCAAAAAUGUUUUAAAGAAACCCCGGAAAGGCUCUUGGAGAGCAAGCUGGGGCCAGCAUGAAAUCAAACUGCUGCUAGAGGCCAUCUUCAAGACGGGCAAAGUCCACCAGAUCAUUUCGGGAAACAGUCAGAGAAAGAGCAAGCUCUGGAGAGAGGUCACUGAGACUCUGGCCAAGCGCCAUGUGGGCUACACGGCCGAGCAGUGCCGCACCAAGUGGAAGCACCUCAAGACCCAGUUCCGCUUUGAACAGGCUCGUUACCUGACGACAGGAGCCCACUCAGACCCUCUGCCGCACUUCUAUGAGGAAAUGAGCAACCUCUGGAAGAUGGCGGCCAGGUGCUCACCAAAGGCUGGGCCCUCAAAAUGGCCAAAACAACCUACCAAAGCAAAGACAGCCCUGCAACUCCAGAGGCAGAAUAAGGAAGAGGAAAUGCCUGCUCCACUCCCUGUGAAGCCUUCUGGCCCAGACCAGCCAGAAGUGUUACCUGGAACAUGGUCACAGCCUCCACAGGCAGUGACUCCCAUCACAGAGCAUCAGUCCAACGACAGUGAAACCAGUGAUGCGCCCAAAGAAGUGGAUGGAUGUGCAGCAAAUCAAGCAGCUUUAGGAAGAGAGACACUAGAGGAACCGGCCUUUCAGCAAGAGAAGCCUGAGGUCCCCUGUGACCCCAGAUACCAGCAGAUUGGGGAGACCAUGCUGGAGGAAUUGAGAAACCUGUCCCGAACCCAGCAGGAGAUGUCUGUGGUCAGCAUGUACAUUGCCAAAGCCCUCCAGUACCAGCAAGAACAGCUGAUCCCGGGCAUCCAUCUUCUAAAUCACAACAUGUACCAGCUCUGCCUGCUAUUGGCCAACCAGACGGAGGCCUCCCUCCACUCCGGGCCCUUUCUCCCCGAGAUGAUCAAUCCCAGCAUUGUCUUCUCUGGAUCUCCAGUUCCACAGCCUUAUCCUUCAGACUUUGAGCCUUCCGGUGGUGCCCACCCCAAGUAGGCUUCAGUUCUCUGAGAUGCAGCUCACAUUACCUUGGUUUCUUGGAAUGCAUUCUGUCUAAGUAAAUUUCAUGUGUUCCCCCUGUUUGGAAGGUUUGAGAUAAAGAUUUGGAUUCUAUCCCUCAGACUCUGCCUCUUUCA